ensembl:lncRNA
GGGUGUCAUAUGUGUACGGGUGUCAAUUUCUGCCAGGGUAUGCAAACUUAAAAGCACAAGUGUACUAGUCUUAUGCCAUAUUUACUAUAGAUAGUAUGCGAUCUGAGAUUCAGCCACGAUCUUGUCAGUGGCGGCCUGAUAAUGAUGGGAAGUUCGGCUCACCUGGCUUAGUAGCUAGCUAACGUUACUACAGGCUGGAGAUUUUUUUCAGAUCGGUUUUUCUUUGCUUUUUAGUCCAAAAUCUUAGUUCCCCCUUUUCAUUAAUACUAAUUAAAAAGUACAACUAAUACAUUUAGCGGCUGAAAAUUAUUACCCCACUACUUUUGGUUUGGACUCUGGUCUAAGCCCUGGCUGAAUGUAUGUAUUCCUACUCUGGACUGUUUUAAAAGCAUUUCUCUGCUUCUGGUUUUUAGCUAUUUGAAAUGUAGCGCGUUAGGCUAGCUAAGCUAGAACUACAUAGAGUAGCAGUACAUAAAUAGCAUGUGCUCAGGCAGUGGGCAAAGGGUGGAAGUAGGCCUGUUCAGAUUAGAGACAAAAUGUGUUUCGAAUGUUGCAGAGAAAAUUACAGUGGUGAACUGGUUAGUUACAUGCUAUCGCAGUUUUGUGUUUAUAAUAAUAAUAAUAAUAAAAAGGUGUUAUUUUCCCUGAAGCUGACAUUUUUCUUUUGGCGGGGGGCAACAUUAGAGAUCUCGCGUAGGGCCAGUUAGGCCAGAAACGCCACUGCCUGUGGAACCCAGGUUCGUUACUUGACCGUAAACACUUAAUUACAGGUAAGCUACGUCAGUGUAUACAUUGAAUUGGAUAGAACUGUGUUGGGAUAAUCGUUUUUUUCCGGUAACAACACUGUUUCCCGUAUUAUUUCAUUCAACAUUAACCAGCAAUACCGUACCCUCUUAGCUCGCUGACUGGUACCAGUGCCAGCACCCUAAAGUUGCUCGCUAGUCCAAGCGAAAGGAUAAAUUGAACUUCACCAUACGUUACCGUAGUUAACUCAAGUCUGACGUUGUAAUCGGUUAUAAACAAUAGUUUGGGGUGAAACAGUUAACCUGCGUUAUUUUUCUGAAACAUACAGUACAGCUAAUGUCACAAACGUUGGCUGGCUAAUGUGUUUAGUUAGUACUGUACAGCCACACUAGAUCGCUGAUUAGAAGCUGGCAAUUAAUCUAAAAACGUGUUUUCUAUAAAUUAACAAUGAAUACACUAAAUUAACUGGAGAUUCAGAUGGUGGAGUUUUUCAAUUGGGGGCGUGGGCAACACGUCGAUUCCUCUAUAAACGGUGUCGUCAUAAUAGCCUAUUGACAGAACCGUAUGAUCGUGGUCACAUUUCAUUAUGCAUUCAUUUUUGGUAUGAGACACGGACAGCUUGGACACAUAAGUAACUUGUAAUGUUUUCUGUGUGGGUUUUCAGCCAAUAUUCACUCCCAAGACCAAUGGGAUUAUGAGUAUGGACUCCCAAGACCAAUAGGAUGAUGAGUAUGGACUCCCAAGACCAAUGGGAUGGUGAGUAUGGACUCCAGGGUCAAUUGGCCUAAGCUUGAUCCUGCCGGGAUACAUUUCCCCUGGAGUCCCGCAGAGGUAGGUUAAAUGUGUUCUUCCAACCGAUCUGUACAGUAUUGGGGGAGGACAUUGUGUAAAAUGUUAUGUUACUACGUGCCAUUGUUCCCUCCAAGUUUUACAGCUUUCCCAGACAGGUGUUUGGCCUAGUAAGUGGUACCUAGGGAAAUUCUAGGGUCACCUCCGUGCCCAUGGGAUGACCUUGAACUAGUCGCUGAAUCAUCAGACUUGCAGAUGAGUGGUGUCAGGAACAGAGGGCAAAGGAGAAGCAGUAGGGAUGAGUCGAUGUAAUGAGUAAUCCGAGGCCUGUCAACACCAUUGUAUGGUGGGGACAUCAGCCCUUGAACUGCAUCUCAGGACUACCUGGCUGAACUACUCCUAGUUGUCCAAAGUCCACCUGACAACUGCUGCUGUCACUGCCCACAGCCCACCUGAUCGUCUCUCAUCUGGAUUCUGCAUAGAUUCUGCCAGAAGAGGACUGGCCACCCCUCAGAGCCUGGCUCCUCUCUAGGUUUCUUCCUAAGAUACAAGACUACCAGGGAGUUUUUCCUAGCCACUGUUACUUGCUCUUUGGGGUUUUAGGAUGGAUACCUGCAUAAGCACUUUGUGACAUAUACUAAUGUCUGGGGCUUCAUAAAAUCGAUUUGAGUAAAUAAAUGCAAACAAACGGCUCCAUCCUUGUCCUC